AUGCAGUGCAAGUGUGAGACCGUGUGCCAAGAGCAAGCCAAUUCACUGAAGAGCUCGGCUUCUCAUAACCGAGACCUGCAUCUUCACCAGGAUGAACAUGUGCCUGUCGUUAUUGGACUUAUGCCUGGGGACUACAUUCAGUAGACUGUGCCUUUAGAUGAGGGGAUGUAUCCUUUGGAAGGAUCACGUAGCUGUUGUAUCGACAGUUCUUCUCCCGUGGAAGUCUCUGUGGUUCCUCCUCAAGUGGGAGGGUGCUGUUUCCCUGAAGUCGAGAGUCAGGUAGACCAGGACCUAGUUGUUGCCCCAGAGAUCUUUGUGGAUCAGUCAGUGAAUGGCUUGUUGAUUGGCACCACAGGAGUCAUGUUGCAGAGCCUGAGAGCGGGUCACAAUGAUGUCCCUCCACGCCCACCAUUGCUACCUCCAGUGCAGAAUAAUCAAAUCCAAAGGAACUUCAGUGGACUUAACUGGCACAGAGGCCCACAUGACUGAAUGUAUGUUCUGUUAUUAUUUUGAUCUUAACUCUGUUUGUGGGAUUGCAAGAGUUUGCUUCAGUGCAAAGUAGUGGUCCCAUGCUUGUGUCAAGCCUCACAGGGGAGCUGAAAAAACUUGUAAAACAAGGAUGGUACUGGGGACCAAUCACAUGUUGGGAGGCAGAAGGGAGCCUAGCAAACGUGCCAGAUGGUUCUUUACUUGUCUGGGACAGUUCUGACGACGUUACCCUUUAAGCUUGAGCUUCUGACCCUACGGUAAAACAUUUCACACUAGAAUUGAGUGCUCAAAUGGUAGAUUUAGCUUUUAUUAACAGCCAGAUGUGGAAGGACAUAGGUCCAUAGUUGAUCUAAUUGAGCAUUCAAUCAGGGACUCCGAAAAUAGGGCUUUUUGUUAUUCAAGGUCUGGGCUGCCUGGAUCUGCAAUUUACCCAGUCAGACUCACCAACCCAGUGUCCUGGUUCAUGCAGGUGUGCUCCCUGCAGUACCUGUGUCGUUGUGUUAUAUGUUAGUAUACCAGGAUAGACUUAAUUCAGAAACUGCCUUUGCCAAACAAAAUGAAGGAUUAUUUACAGGAGAAGCACUACUGAAAGAAUGAGAACACUGCAUCUUGCAUUUUGGGAAUAAGAAAAAGAAAUUGAAAUACAGUUUACAAACUUUCAUUGCCAUCAAAACCUUUUGCUGCCAUAACCAUUUCAGUUUUAUGUGUAAAAGAGUCAUCAGUUUGUUUAGGGGUGGGGAAGUGUCAGCAAGGUGUCUUGGAUUUCUUUUGGUUCUUUAAAAAGGGAAGUCGAGGUUUUAAAGGUGUGAAUUAUAUUUCAUCAAUGUGCGGAAUAAUCACAAUGUGAAUUAUCAAAUUCUCCUCAGUACCCCCCGCCCAGUCCUUUGCUGCUAUCUGCUGUGAUUUUUAUGCAUUAAAGGCACAUUUCAUGUGUAUUCAACCCUAAGUAAAGUUGAGUGAAACUUACAGAAUGGAAAUUACUAUGUCUUUUUAAAUGGCCCGUUUUCAAAAGAUAGUGUUGAAUAAACAUACCUGUGUGAUAAAACACAGAAUUUACAUAUA